AAAAUUGUUUUGGAGGAUUUGAGUUUCGAUAAGGAUUUGGUCAACGGGGUUGACCAAAAUGGUAACACUGUUUUGCACCUUGCUGUUGCUGAUAAACAAGUUGAGGUAUUAUUAUUAUUAUUAUUAUUAUUGUUAGCAAUUUUUUCUGUGUGAUUCAAAAAAAAGAAGAAAAAUUAAGUAUAUGAUAAUUAAAUUGUAUUAAAAAUGAUAACAUUAUAUUAAAAUACGAAGUUGUGUGUUGGGUAUCCGCCCGGAGAAGACAAACCACACAAAAUCAAAAUACUCAUAUUUUAUUCGAAACAAUUAAAAUAUAAUAUAUAAUAAAUCAACUAAAUCAAUUAAUUAUAGCAUAUGACAGCAAUUACCGAAAACAAAACAAUUAUGGGAAUAAGGGUACAGGACUCUAAUUAUUACUUAUAUUAUUUAAACCUAACAACAACUGCAAAUCAUAACAAUUAUAAAGACUACAAGAAAAUCAGAAUAAUUGCAAAAAGUAGGAAACAAAUAACACAAAUAAUAAGGAAAAACUAGAGUAAUAAAGGGGAAAGAAGAACCACGGCGAAUCACACAGAUUCGUGGGAGGAUGAAUCUCUGCCGACGAUUGAGGUUCCCGGCUCAGUCUCAAUUCCCAUCCGUCCUCGUCCAAGACUCACCAGCCGCAGCCACGCACCCACCGGAACAAGCCCAAUAGCCCAAAUCCCUCUCAGAUUUCUAACCGGAAAAACCCGAAAAAACCCCAAACACACAAAGGACCAAGAGUUCGAAUAAAUCAAACACACACAGCACUCAACCCAACACCCAAACACUCACAAAGAGUUGAGACUCACAAAGAGUCGAAUCAGUCACGAAGAAAAGAUUUACGAACAAGGUGUAACGUAGGUUGAAUUUUCUUGGUCACUCUUGGUCACUGUUCUCUCACGAAGAAGAGGUCUAUUUAAUAGCCCCCAAGAACCGACUUCAACGGAAGCCACAGAUUUCAGGCGGAGAAAUCGGACCAGAAAAGAGGAAAAAAAAAAGCAGAGAGCCGAAUCGGUAUAUCGGUGGAGAGAUUAAUCGUUUUUCACGUUUUGACCCCUUAAUUGGGUCAAGACCAAUUCUCCACGUGGGCUUUUUCAAGUGUGG
rnacentral:lncRNA from 1 species